GGGCGGAGUCCAACCAACGCUGCGCUCUGGGUUGGGUAUCAGUACACGUAGCAGUUUUGUUCCACCGGUACUUGAGACAGAGUAUGAAUAUUGUUUAAUCUUUAAGUGGCUGACAACCGCAUGGCUCAGGGGUGCGAUAUAAAGAAAUCAAUUAACUAUUUGGAUGGCUAUUCUAGCUGACUGGAUCUAGCUAUAGUUGUUUUGGAAUUCAAGAAAGACCUCAGACUCUUAGAGAAAGUAGAAGAAUACUUUAGCCUGUAAUAUAAGAUUUAGUACAGGCAGAAAUAAACUUUUUCAUAAUAGUUAGACAUCUAGCACAAGGAGAGGUACAGCCAGCUAUAAGACUACCCCAAGGCUUCUGAGAAGCUUUUCGAAGACCAAAGAAGGCAUACAUAACACAGGUUUUGUCCAAACUAAUGAUCUAAUCUUAUUGGUAGCACAACAAAACUUAAAACAAAGACAAGUCCUUUUAAUUAAUUAAUACAUACUGUUCAAGCUUCAUUCAUAGAUGCUAAGAUAGACUAUGCUUCUUUUCUAGUAGCCUAGAUAUCCAGCAGGAGCUGUUUCUGCAUUCUCCAGAGAAAUACAGUGUCCCAGCUCGCCUUGUCAGCUAAAUUGAGCUGUAAGGUUUCCCACUUGAACGCAGCAAUCUGAUUGGGCUGCAAAUUUCUUGCAGUGGGAACAAAACUGCUACAUGUACUGAUACCCAACCAUGAGCGAAGCGUUGGUUGGACUCCGCCCAACUAAUCCAGAUCCUCCUGGCAGAAUCAUCUUUGUCUUGAGGGCCUGGUCUUUUCUUCUUAGAUACACUGAACUACAGAUCCUGGAAGAAUCAAUUUUCUUCUUUCUUGAGGUCCUGUACAUAAUGAAUGCAUAAGAGAAACUUCUAUCAGGAGCAGUAGGAAGUUCAAGAAGAGAAGACAGGAAGAAGCCAGGCCGAAAUAAACUAUGAACUUCAAACGUUAUUUCCUUUUUUUAAGUGUUUAAUUUUUGAGAGAAAAGCCUCGAAAGGCUGCCAGUUUUUCUUGUGCUGAAAUCGAUCCAAGCCGCUCAUGGCCUCGAGGCUAUAGCACAUGCAA